rnacentral:lncRNA from 1 species
AACACGGGCCAUAUACACGAUUGUGUCCUCUUUUCAAGACUAGGGUUUUCAAUUUUUGUCUCUAUUGUCGUUUCACCAAAACCCAGCCUCUACACCACCAUUCUCCCCCUUUCCAUUGUCGGUUCCGAUUUUCUUUCCCUCCCUCCCUGUACCUCUUCUCAUCACUCUCGAAGCACCACAUAGCGUCGACCAUCAUUUCCCUCACCAAUCCUUACACACGUCAACCCCUCCAUCAUUUUUUUCUCCCCCGAUCAACCUUCUCCUUGGUCUUCUUUCCCCAUCGCCACUAAAGACCCCACCAAUAGUCACGUAUUUCUUU